rnacentral:rRNA from 1 species
UAAUACGGAGGGGGCAAGCGUUGUCCGGACUUACUGGGCGUAAAGGGUGCGUAGGCGGUUGCGUGCGUCAGCGCUGAAAUCCGUGGGCUCAACCCACGGGCGCGUGCUGAUACGACGCGACUUGAGGCUCGGAGAGGGUGGGAGAACUCCUGGUGUAGUGGUGAAAUGCGUAGAGAUCAGGAAGAAUACCCGUGGCGCAAGCGCCCACCUGGCCGAGACCUGACGCUAAGGCACGAAAGCGUGGGGAGCGAACCGGAUUAGAUACCCGGGUAGUCCACGCCGUAAACGAUGUCGACUCGGGGUGUGUGGACCGUUAAGGUCCGUGCGCCCCCAAGCUUACGCGGAAGUCGACCGCCUGGGAACUACGAGCGCAAGCUUA